rnacentral:rRNA from 1 species
UACGUAGGGUGCAAGCGUUGUCCGGAAUUAUUGGGCGUAAAGAGCUCGUAGGCGGUUUGUUGCGUCGGCUGUGAAAACCCACGGCUCAACUGUGGGCUUGCAUUCGAUACGGGCAGGCUAGAGUUCGGUAGGGGAGACUGGAAUUCCUGGUGUAGCGGUGAAAUGCGCAGAUAUCAGGAGGAACACCGGUGGCGAAGGCGGGUCUCUGGGCCGAUACUGACGCUGAGGAGCGAAAGCGUGGGGAGCGAACAGG